AGAGUUUGAUCCUGGCUCAGGACGAACGCUGGCGGUGUGCUUAACACAUGCAAGUCGAACGGUAAGGCCCUUUCGGGGGUACACGAGUGGCGAACGGGUGAGUAACACGUGAGUAACCUGCCCUCAUCUCUGGGAUAACAGUCGGAAACGGUUGCUAAUACUGGAUAUGAGCUUGCAAGGCAUCUUGUGGGUUGGAAAGAUAUUUUUUGGUUGGGGAUGGACUCGCGGCCUAUCAGCUUGUUGGUGAGGUAGUGGCUCACCAAGGCUUCGACGGGUAGCCGGCCUGAGAGGGCGACCGGCCACAUUGGGACUGAGAUACGGCCCAAACUCCUACGGGAGGCAGCAGUGGGGAAUAUUGCACAAUGGACGGAAGUCUGAUGCAGCAACGCCGCGUGCGGGAUGACGGCCUUCGGGUUGUAAACCGCUUUCAAUUGUGACGAAGCUUUUUUGUGACGGUAGCAGUAGAAGAAGCACCGGCUAACUACGUGCCAGCAGCCGCGGUGAUACGUAGGGUGCGAGCGUUGUCCGGAUUUAUUGGGCGUAAAGAGCUUGUAGGCGGUUUGUCGCGUCGGGAGUGAAAACUUGGGGCUUAACCCUGAGCUUGCUUUCGAUACGGGCUGACUUGAGGGAGGUAGGGGAGAAUGGAAUUCCUGGUGGAGCGGUGGAAUGCGCAGAUAUCAGGAGGAACACCGGUGGCGAAGGCGGUUCUCUGGACCUUUCCUGACGCUGAGAAGCGAAAGCGUGGGGAGCGAACAGGCUUAGAUACCCUGGUAGUCCACGCCGUAAACGGUGGGUACUAGGUGUGGGGGACAUUCCACGUUCUCCGUGCCGUAGCUAACGCAUUAAGUACCCCGCCUGGGGAGUACGGCCGCAAGGCUAAAACUCAAAGGAAUUGAC
rnacentral:rRNA from 1 species